rnacentral:lncRNA from 1 species
AAUCUACCUUCCAUUUUUUGCUAUCCAAUUUCUUAUCCACCCAAUUGCAAAUUUACAUAUCAUAAAAAAUUAAGCUCAUGUUUGAUGCUCAUUUUAAUGAGCUUUUUUUUUUUUUUUUUGGCUCAAUUCUCAUUUUCCUACAGUGCGGAUUGGAUAGCACGAGACAACCUUCAAAGUGGCCUGCCAGAGACUUGUGCACAAUGCCGUUGAGUCUUGCUUUCCCAUUCUGCCCUUGUCUUGCACUUGGUUACCAAAUAAUUUCCCUUCACUGCUACCUUUCCCAAUCGACCCACCCUAUGGCACUUGCCUCUCUAUCAAUCGGAUCUCUCUACCUACCAUUUUCACUGCUCCUCCGACCACCAUAGCUUUUAAGUCCAACAACGUACUAGCGGGAUUUGAGCUCUUCCACUAGGAGAUAGCACGCCUAUUUUCUUGCAGUAUUUCCAACCAACGGUGGUCUGACCACCCUACCGGCAUCGUCCGCAGUGUCCAACCGGGAGGAAUUAAUCUCUUCCACAACCACUAGAGUCUAGGUUCUCCGUCCCGUCAACGCAUCACCUCCAGUAAGAUUGGCAUUUUUAGCUCCUUCCAAAUUCUCUCUUGCACCACAAAGUCACCGAUGACAAUGGACAACUAUGGGCAACAGUGGGGCUCUUAUCCCGAAUACUUGGUAACAUUCGUCAUUCUUCCUGCUUCUAUAGAUCAUCGCAAAUCUGUUGGGCACGAGAAGAAAUUGAUUUUUUUUUCCUAUUUUCCCAAUUGUAAAUUGCUUCCAUUCCACAUGUGACCCUCAACACCUGAAUGUGAAUUUCACGUCUAGAAAUUCCGAAGCUUAGUUGUGCUACUGAUUUCAAGAAAUUGAAUUGUAAGUAUAUGAUAGAAUGUUGGAUACAACAUCAUGUAACCCAAUUUUUUGGUUGAUGUGUUUCUCAUUUUUGUGCUCAAUGUACACUUCUACAUAGCAUGCCAACUAAAAAAUGUCAAUAAGAUCAUACCGUGCCAUUUUUCCCACUACCGUGUCAUCCCAAAUUAAACAUCGUUCCCCACAGCUUUGUAAGAUGAUAGAAUGAGUGCAUGUUGUAGUGACAUAGACUUAUUUUCCCUUGACCCUUCGCCGACUACUACGUUGUCUUCUAUCUGUUCAAUUGUCCCCAGGGGCGGAGCUACCAU